CUACGGGUCGCAGCAGUGGGGAAUAUUGCACAAUGGGGGAAACCCUGAUGCAGCAACGCCGCGUGGAGGAUGACGCAUUUCGGUGUGUAAACUCCUUUUAUAUAGGAAGAUAAUGACGGUACUAUAUGAAUAAGCACCGGCUAACUCCGUGCCAGCAGCCGCGGUAAUACGGAGGGUGCAAGCGUUACUCGGAAUCACUGGGCGUAAAGCGCGCGCAGGCGGUUUGAUAAGUUGGAUGUGAAAGCCUACUGCUCAACCGUAGAACUGCAUCCAAAACUGUCAAACUAGAGUCUGGGAGGGGAAGAUGGAAUUAGUUGUGUAGGGGUAAAAUCCGUAGAGAUAACUAGGAAUACCAAAAGCGAAGGCGAUCUUCUGGAACAGUACUGACGCUGAGGCGCGAAAGCGUGGGGAGCAAACAGGAUUAGAUACCCGCGUAGUC
rnacentral:rRNA from 1 species